GAGCAGUAAGACCCGCUGCCUCCUCAGUGCUACUGCUUUUAUUGAAAACUUGAGGGCACCGUGGCAUUUGCUUUAGAUGCGUGAUGGUGGAUGAAGGCACUAUAGCGCUGAUCAAACCUCAGGAGCCGACCCUCUGCAAGCAUUCUUUUCCUCAUUUGGACUUGGAGGAAGCAGCUCCUUUUGGAUCCCAAAGCAUGCAAGUUUUGCUACAAGAGGCCUCUCUGUUCUUUAAAGAAUGAAUAUACUUUCAGUGUUUGGUCACUUCUAGACCCAGCAGAAGUAUUUAAGGGAAAUGCAGGCCCAAAUUCCUGCUUUAUUCCUCCAAUUUUUCUUUUGUCUUUUCUUCUAGAUUUUGGCAUGUUCUGUCUUGUUAGCUCUUCAGUUUCUUCUAAUCAGUUUCUUUAUUGGGGGCUGGAGAGAAGGCUCAGCGGUUAAGAGCACAACAGUGUGCUCACAUACAUGAAAUAAAUCUUUUUAAAAAGAAAAAAAAAAAGAAAAGAAAAAGUACACCGUAGCUCUCUUCAGACACACCAAAAAAGGGCAUCAAACCCCAUUACAGAUGGUUGUGAGCCACCAUGUGGUUGCUGGGAAUUGAACUUAGGACCUCAGGAAGAGCAGUCAGUCCUCUUAACCGCUGAGCCACCCCUCCAGCCGUAAUCAAUUUCUUGAAGUUCUACUUUUCUAAGUGUGCUCAGCAGGACAGGAUGGGAUGUCCAUUAACGGAAUGCACAACCAAGCCCAUUUUUGUAUUUGUUCUUCUUUACACAUCUAUAUUGUGGUCUAUCAAAAAGGGAACGAGGGUAGUCGGGCAGGACAGUGCACACCUGGUAUCCUAGCAAGCAGCAACUUCUAAUGGGAAUCUUAAUUUCAAGGCUAGCCUGGGCUACAGAAUGAGAUUGUGUCAGAAGGAAGAAUAAAAGGAG
rnacentral:lncRNA from 1 species